rnacentral:rRNA from 1 species
UACGGAGGAUCCGAGCGUUAUCCGGAUUUAUUGGGUUUAAAGGGAGCGUAGAUGGAUGUUUAAGUCAGUUGUGAAAGUUUGCGGCUCAACCGUAAAAUUGCAGUUGAUACUGGAUGUCUUGAGUGCAGUUGAGGCAGGCGGAAUUCGUGGUGUAGCGGUGAAAUGCUUAGAUAUCACGAAGAACUCCGAUCGCGAAGGCAGCCUGCUAAGCUGCAACUGACAUUGAGGCUCGAAAGUGUGGGUAUCAAACAGG